GCGGCCGUAGCUCAGCGGGAGAGCGCCCGGCUGAAGACCGGGCGGUCCCGGGUUCAAAUCCCGGCGGCCGCA
rfam:Pyrobaculum arsenaticum DSM 13514, complete genome.